GACGAACGCUGGCGGCGUGGAUUAGGCAUGCAAGUCGAACGGUAGGAUCCUUUCGGGGAUCUGAGAGUGGCGAACGGGUGAGUAACACGUAGGUGAUCUACCCUCAAGACGGGGACAACCCAGGGAAACUUGGGCUAAUACCGGAUGUGAGCUAUCGCGAGAUAGUUUGAAAGGUGGCUUCGGCUGCCGCUUGAGGAUGAGCCUGCGUCCUAUUAGCUAGUUGGUGAGGUAACGGCUCACCGAGGCAGUGAUAGGUAGGCGGCCUUAACGGGUGGUCGCCCACACUGGGAUUGAGAUACGGCCCAGACUCCUACGGGAGGCAGCAGUCGAGAAUAGUCUACAAUGGUCGAAAGACUGAUAGUGCGACGCCGCGUGAACGAAGAAGCCCUUCGGGUGUAAAGUUCUUUUAUAUGUGAGCAGUGACACCCAUAUUAAUAGUAAUGGGUGUAGAGAUAUUAGCAUAUGAAUAAGCAACGGCUAACUCCGUGCCAGC
rnacentral:rRNA from 1 species